AACUCUCUUCGGAAAACACAAACACACCUAGUUUCUACACAUCGCUUCCAUCAUCUGCUCUGCCCUAGUUCUACCAAUUAAUUUCUCAUCUCCUCAGAUUCUUCUCUUGUUCAUCAAAAACCUCUCAAGGUUCAAUAUGAAACCAUCAAAGACUGAAAAUGAGGUGGGAUCAACUAUGAAGACUACUACCAGAUAUGCAUUCGUUGCGCCAGGUGCUAUAGGUGCUAUAGGAAAGGGACGAAGACGAGGAGUGCUUAGAUCUUUGAUUGAGAAAGAGAAUAUGCCAACUAAGAGUUUAUUUCCUCAAUCUAGUGAUAUAGUUAAGCAAUACAUCCAAGAAAUUGAAACAAGGAAGGGACGAGGACAAGGGCUUAAAAGCUCUACGAGGUCUGCUAGUCAAGGAAUGGGAAUGAUACAUAACAAUUCCAUGGUUCUUGAGAAAAAGUAUAUGCAAUUUGAUGGUCCAUUGCCUCCAUCUGUUGAUCAAGUUAAGCAAUAUACCCAAAAAGUUGAAAUAAGUGCUCCAGGGAUGGGACGAGGACAAAGUCUUAAAAACUCUACAGUGUCUGCUAGUCAAGGAAUGGGAAUGAUACAUAAAAAUUCCAUGGUUCUUGAGAAAGAGUAUAUGCAAUUUGAUAGUCCAUUGCCUUCAUCCACUGAUCAAGUUAAGCAAUACACUCAAAAAGUUUAAAUAACGGUCAAGAGGUGGAGUCGUUAAUGUUGGAUAAUGCACUUUUUAGAGAAACUCUACAAUCGAAUCACUCCAAAGAAUCAGCUAUUCAUAUUGAAUCUAAAGAGGAUUUCAACUCUUGGACGGAUUCAACUUUGUUAAAAGAGAAUUUGUUUCCUAAGAUGGGUAAACACAAGGAUAGACCAAAGAGGAAAUCAAAUGCCAAUAUUACGAACAAGGAUCACCCCUCCAGCAGCAAAUAUUGUUCUGAUGAGCACUCGUUACAAGGCUCACAUAGGACAGCGAUUGAAGAACUGAAUUUUCCCUGCAUCGCUUAAACCCAAGAAGAGAAGUUCUGAAUUUUCAGAAACUUCUCGCAGAAGUCAUAGAUCGAUGAAGAAGAACAAUUAUGGGGAUCUUGUGGAUAUUAUUUCGGGUUCAGAUAAACAGAAAUCCCGAAUACCAGCUCAUCAGGAACCUGAAUCUUCAACUCAAUUUUACAACUUGGAUGUUGAAAUGCCUGAGUCUCUGUGAACAACAGGCAUGGAUCUUGUUUUAACUGCUAUGAGUCGGAGCCAAGUAGCAUAGACCUAGAUGGUAUUAAGGAAACUGAAGUCAACAGACUUCUUGUUAAUGGUGAUCAGAGUUUACAUGUCGAAGGUGCCUCGUCUAACUUCACUGGAAAUCAACAAGAGCCAUGCCCAGCUGUUGAUGGGGUCUAAAAUGAGAGUGAUAAUAUGUGCAAAUUGUCUACAUCAACCGCAUUAUCCUGUGUCAUAUGUUGGACAGAUUUUAGUUCAUCCAGGGGGCGCUUCCCUGUGGUCAUCGUUUUUGUUUCUCAUGCCUCCAGACGUGGGCCAAUCGUACGGUAUCAAGCAGAAAAUUUUCAGCAUGCCUUCUGUGCAAGGCUAGUUUUGUUGCCAUUAGAAAGGUUGAUGAUGCAAUUCCUGUUGAUCAGAAGAUAUACACCCAAACUAUUCCGGACCACAACCCAGAAAUGGACAUAUAUAUACUUCCCAUGGGUGAAACACCAAGAUUCCCUUCUAAUGUAAUUUCAAUGGCAGUUUUCAUUCUAUUCUGUAUGGUGGAGAACAUUACCUCCUGUUUGUUUGUGUUGUAAUAGAUGUGAAUAUCUAUAUCUCAUCAUUGCCAUCGAAGGACAUGUAUUACCGUAAUAUUGGUUACCUUUUCUGCAUCCAUGUGACUUCUCUUCCUACAGGUGCAGACAAAAGUCAAAUGCAUGAAUAGCCUAUUCCCCUUUUGGUGUAAUGAGCGUGACUGGGACAUAUUAGUUUCCUGUAUCAAGCUAUUCAAUGUUAUAGAUCAAAGCGAGAAGCAACAGGAAUGCAGCAAAUCGAGCUAAGUUAAAGAUGCCUCAUCAUAUUGGUAGCAAGCAUAUUCGAGAGAUUAUUUAUCAAAAGCCUUGAUGUUUUUGCUGGAUGACAUCUAAUGAAUUUAUUAGAUUGCUUUUGGGGUUUUGAAGAUUGAAUUUGACAAGUCAAGAUGGAAGUUUAGAAGAUGCACAAGCUCAUUAUUUUGCUAGGAAUGUUAUGCACUCGCUAUCGUAGUCUAGCUCGAGUGUUAGCAAUGUUUUUUUGUUAAGGUGUCGAGCAAAUAUUGAAACUAACAUCAUGGGAUGUUAACAAUUUUACUGUAAUUAAUAACUCUAUCUUCCUCUUUA